UUAGUUCUUUUACCUUUGAUUACAUUUGUCUGUCAUUAUUGAUGGUAUUUAUACCUCAAAUAAAGAUUUGUGUACAUAAUGUCUGCCUCUGACCAAGGACUUGUAUAGUGAGACUAUACAAAUCCUUACUCUGACUUAAUUUUUUUUCCAUUUUUUUCAUAGUAGAAAUAGUAAACAUGAUAUGAAACAUCACCAUUACCAGUAUGUUUGUAUUAGCGCUCUGAAGGAGAGUGGUAUACUAAUUUACCUCUAUGUCUAUCAAUCCAUUCAAAUUUCCGUCUUAUUUUCUCAGGAACUUCAAAUCAGAACUUUCCAUAUUUGGUAGCCAGCUUCAUGUAAGCAUGCUAAACUGUGAAAUACAUUUUCUAAUUCAAUGUAAAUUGCAUGUGAUAUUUCAUGUAAAAUUAAUUCUAAGGGAAAAUUUGUCUUCAUAUAUGAUACUGCCAAAAAAUAUAUGUAUAAGACUGAUUUUAUGAGUUGUUAAAGGAAUUCUAGUUUAGAUUGUAGAUAGCUCUCCUUGUUGAAACUUGUCGUCUAAAAUAUACUCAAAAGUUGAAUUUAAUCUAGUCGUUAAAGGGGGAUUCUAUGCACUCAUAAUAAGUUUGAAGAACUUUGUUCUUUUGAAGAUAAUUACAAAUAUAUGUACAUGUAAAUAGUGAAGUUAAUCCAAUCAAACACAUUGAAGAGUUUUUUAAUAAUUUUUAUAUUUUGAAAUAUGCCAUUUUCUUUGCCUUUUCACAGAAGGUAUCUUUUGUUAUGCAAUGUAUGUAGAAUGUUAUAUCUUUUUCAUUGCAUAUGGUUGUUGAAUUUUUGUUUAUUGGUUGAUAUUAAAAUGGUAUUUGUUGAUUUAACCAAUAAGUUGGUUUGUUGAUCCACUAUUGAAAAGAGGACAUAAUUCUGUCUCCGGUUGUUUGUCCUAGAAGAGGUUAAGAUAUACAUAAACAAGAUAACAGGAAUGAUUAAAAAUAUUGUUCAAUCACAACAACAAACAAGCAUCUAUACAAAUAAGGGUAGUCAAAUUUCUUUUUCAAGUGAUUCCAGGUAAAAAAUAAUUCAGAUUAAUUAAGGGUAGCCUAAUUUCUUUUUCAAGUGAUUCCAGGUAAAAAAAAAUGUAAAUGUGUUGUGGCGUUCAAGGUAUUUUGAUGUGAAAUACAUAUACAUUUGUAUAUAUAUGAACUUAUGGGUCAAAUUUAGAUCAAUACUUAGUUGAUGUUUUUUUUUCUGAAUUGCUUAGGGUAUAAAAUGGUUGUGUAUUAAAAUGCAGGAAGAUGUAAUGUUCUAGUGGGAAACACUGUUAUUUGCAAGUAUAUGUUUGUUUAUUUUUCAUUAAAGUGAUUUUAUCAUGAUUUUCCUUUAAUUUAAAACAAAUUUCACUUGUAUUGCAGAAUUAAAAUGUAUAUUACUGAUGACUUAUUGAUCUUAUAAACAAAAGAGUUGAGAUUUUUAAUCAAUAUGAUAACUCAUUCUUUAGAAGUAUUUUUCAGUUUACAUAUGUUUUUUUUUAUGUAUGAAAUGCAAUCUAUUGUCUGAUUUUUAUAUAAUACUGCUAACAAAUGAAUUAGGUUAAGUUUUUGAUUUUUUAUGGCCCCGCAACGAAGUUUUACUCUUGUCCAAAAUUCAGAAAUUCCGUCAUUCCGCAACAAACCAUUAUACAGAGUUUUUUUCUAAAACGCCUUCAGAUAUUGCGCUGAUUUUUGGUAUGUGAGUUAACCAUGAUGAGUUACAGGUCAAGUUAAAGUUAAGUUCUGCUCCGCUAAUUUUUGCUGAAAUUACGGGCUUUGGACUUUGAUAAAUGAUUGAAAAUAACAGUUAUACAGAUUCUUUUUCUAUAUGCCUCCAGAUUUUGAGCUGAUGUUUGAUAUGUGAGACUACCAUCAUGUUUUUGUCCACAUGUGUUUAUAUUGAAAUUGCAGAUUUUUCAACUUUUUGGGAUGUGGCCAUUUGUGUCGCUUUGACACAUCUAGUUUAAUGCCUGAUUUAUGAAAGGAAAGAAAUAAACCAGACAAUGUUUAUAAAUUUUUGUUGUUGAAUGAUUGCUGUAAAAUUUUAUACAUUUGUAUGUCUCAUAUGACAGGAAAAUUGUUAAAAGUCCCUGCACUGGAAAGAGAUUUAUUGGAUUAUUUGAUGUCACAAAUUUCUUUUGAAUAAAGUUGUUUUUCAAUAGUACAUUAAUUCUUUUUUUUGUAAACAACAAAGGACAGUGCCACUUUUACAUUUCACGUACUGUUACGUCUCAAACUAAAGCCAAGACCAUGGUGUUUGGUAAUAUUCUCAAAAUAAAAUAAAAGUCUUGCAUCUAUAUUUGUUGUCUCUGUGAAAGAAGGUGACAAAUUGCUUAAGUUGAAUUUCUUGUCUUUUUACUUGUUGUUUUGACUAAGACUUAUAAUAUUUGGUAUGCAAGUAAUGUGCUAUUGUAAAAGGCCUUGACCUUUGAAUUGAAGGUCAAAUACAGUGUAGAUGUAACUAAUGUUUUGGGAUAUUUUUGUAUCUGCCCA
rnacentral:lncRNA from 1 species